AGCUCCAAUAGCGUAUAUUAAAGUUGUUGCAGUUAAAAAGCUCGUAGUCGGAUUUCUGGUUGAGGGGGUCUGUCUUGCCUCACGGCAAGAACUGUACCCCAUCGACCAUCUUUGGACGGAUCCUAUCUGGUAUUAGUUUAUCGGACUGGCCAAGUUCAUCAUUUACUGUGAGAAAAUUAGAGUGUUCAAAGCAGGCUUAUGCCUGAAUAUAUUAGCAUGGAAUAACAAUAUAGGGCCUCGGUACUAUUUUGUUGGUUUGCGCACUGAGGUAAUGGUCAAUAGGGAUAGAUUGUGGAUAUUGGUAUUCCAGUGUCAGAGGUGAAAUUCUUAGAUUACUGGAAGACUAACUACUGCGAAAGCAUUUAUCAAGGAUGUUUUCAUUGAUCAAGAACGAAAGUAC
rnacentral:rRNA from 1 species